rnacentral:tRNA from 1 species
GCACUCGUAGCUCAGCUGGAUAGAGCGUUGGCUUGCGGAGCCAAAGGUCGUGCGUUCGAAUCGCGCCGGGUGUACCA